GGGCCCGCACAAGCGGUGGAGUAUGUGGUUUAAUUCGAUGCAACGCGAAGAACCUUACCAGGGUUUGACAUCCUGCGAAUCUCUUGGAAACGAGAGAGUGCCUUCGGGAACGCAGUGACAGGUGGUGCAUGGCUGUCGUCAGCUCGUGUCGUGAGAUGUUGGGUUAAGUCCCGCAACGAGCGCAACCCACGUCGUUAGUUGCCAGCAUUUAGUUGGGCACUCUAGCGAGACCGCCGGUGAUAAACCGGAGGAAGGUGUGGAUGACGUCAAGUCAUCAUGCCCCUUACAUCCUGGGCUACACACGUGCUACAAUGGUAUCUACAACAGGAAGCAAAACAGCGAUGUUAAGCAAA
rnacentral:rRNA from 1 species